CCGAGUCUACACAUCAGACACCUGUCGACAGCCCAGAUGAUUCAACUCUCAGUGAAAGUGCCAAUCAGGUCUUUCCGGUUCAUCACUCGCAAGCUCUGCCUUCCAGAAAACACUAGGAGCACAAUGCAGCCAAGUUCUUUGUCACUUUAUGACAAGCAUCACCUUUCCUCCAGUUUCCAAUAACAUGUUCUUCAUUGCCAUCUGAGACUUCAUCUGGAUGACUUUUCCCUUCCAUAUUUUUAUUUUUUUAAGAGAUUGAGUCUCCCUAUGUUGGCCAGGUUGGUCUUGAAGUCUCAUCCUCAAGCAAUCCUGCCAUUUCAGCCUCCCAAAGUGCUAGGAUUCCAGGCAUGAGACACCAGGCCUGACCCCCUCCAUAUGCUACCGACAUUCUGUCCGGCUCUCCUCUUCUGAGCCCUCACCAGAGUCGCCCUUAACCAAGAGUCACAGGGAGAAGACGGCCACCCACAUGCCAAGAGACAGGCCUGGAACAGAGCCUUCCUGCACAGCCUCAGAGGGACGCACCCUGCUGACAUCUUGAUGGUGGACUCAUGGCCUCCAGGACUGUGAGACAGUAACAUUCUGUUGUUGAGGGUGCCCAGUCAGUGGAGAGGCGGAAUGAAAUAAUAAUAGAAAUAUAUGUGAAAUAAUAAUAGAAAUAAAGCAUACAAUAAAUGUAAUGGGCUUGAAUCAUCUCCGCAUCAUCCCUUCCCCGUCUCCCGGGCCCAUGGAAGAGUUGUCUUCAAGAAACCUGGUCUCUGGUGCCAAAAAGUUUGGGGACGGCUGGUGUAAAUGUUUCUAAAAAUAGUUAAACAACGUAAGGUUUACCUGCUACAAAUAAUGCAGAUUUAAAUGCUAAUAAAAAUGGGUGCAAAUGAAA